rnacentral:rRNA from 1 species
UACAGAGGGGGCAAGCGUUGUUCGGAAUUACUGGGCGUAAAGGGCGCGUAGGCGGCCUGCUAAGUCGAACGUGAAAUCCCCGGGCUCAACCCGGGAACUGCGUCCGAGACUGGCGGGCUCGAAUUCGGGAGAGGGAUGCGGAAUUCCAGGUGUAGCGGUGAAAUGCGUAGAUAUCUGGAGGAACACCGGUGGCGAAGGCGGCAUCCUGGACCGAUAUUGACGCUGAUGCGCGAAAGCCUGGGGAGCAAACGGG